UUCAAAGCUUUAGGCCAGGCAGUGAAUUCCCGGCUCAACUAAGAAAUUCUUCUGGCAUGUAAUGGGCCAUACAGACACAAGAUGUCAUAACUGGAUGCAUAUUAUAUAUUUAUACAUUUUUAGAGGUAACAACUGCCAAGUGUCCUGAUAAGGAGCGCAGAAGCUGGAUAAUGUUUGACAGGACGACGGAUCAAAGGUCCACGUUUGUUUUCUUGUCUGAUCCACCUUCACACUUAAGAGUGAUUUCUGUCAGCGCCCGAGUGUAAAUCUGAUCUGGGUUUUCUGGUGCGUGGGAGCAUCCUGUCUUCAGCAUCAUGGUGGAACUGGCCUUCUACCCAGCAGUGGCACUGAUAUAUUUUUUCGGAGUGAUGAAAGCCACACAGGAUGAUCGGGUGGAGCUGGAUGACCGGGCGUCGAUGAACGUGUUCUGUCUGUUUGUGUUGGCACAGCCGCUGUGUCUGGUGCUGGGAGGAUACACUGGCAUGGCUACAUACCUCCUCACAGCUCUGGUUUCCUACAACUUUCUGCCUUGGAGGGAGACAAAACAGCCUGCGAAGGAAAAAGAAUCAAAGAAGAAGAAGAAAAAGUGAGAACAAGGAACGUGCACUGUAUGGAGAUAGAGAGACAGUCAAUUCAAACAGGUUGUGAAAGGGAAAAUAAUUUAUAUGAGGAAUAAGCAUUCAGUAUGAAAAUCUUUUUUACAUGAAUAAAUUAAUGUGUUGCUACCUUGCUCGACCAUGCAGCACUUCUUUAACCUCUUUCAACAAAAGUGUUUUUCAUCUGCAUUUGUGCACAUCUGUGAGAAAGCACUUUAUCCAGGGACAUUCAGUUCUCUUCUGCAGAGGAAGUGACUCAUUCUAUAAUUCCUGAUGCAGCAACAGGGUUUAUUUUAGACAAAAAUGGACAGAUAACUUUGUUGUUCCCAUAAGACAUAACAACCAUAAUAAGGGGACUGAAGAACAGAAGGGCAACAAAUACAGAAAAACUCAAAAUCUAUAAAAUAAGAGAAGGCUUGAUAUUAAUGAAUCCUCACAGAGAGAUGCACAAAUGUAUGUGAUUUAUAUAUAAAUCCCUCAACAAUUUUUUUUGUCACUACACACAAAAAAAAUGUAUUAUUUAACAAAGCAAGAAAUCCACAAAUGUAUGUAUUUAAAAAUAGUAUCCAAAACAUAUUUGGAUGUUGUUAUAUUUUUUAUCAUGUAUUUUCAAUGGUAAUUAUUUGUAUUAUAUUUGUGUGUACAUCAUAAAUACAUUUUUAGGAAAGCCCUAAUUGGUGAGGUAAAAAAAAAAAAAAAGAAAAGAAAAGAAAGUGAGCCAAAUCGUACGCUUAUCUCCCAAAUAUGAUAUAUUAUCUCCUGCGUACAAGAUGUUAUCUUUUACGCAGGAAAUAGCAUUGCUGUGCUCAUGCUAGGUUCCAAUUAACAAAUGUUAUCUUUGAUUUUGAAACAGUAGCCUAAUGUUGUUUUUGUAUCAAUCUUUUUUGUUUUUCUUAAAUUGCAUUGAUUUAAUCAUGUAAUAAUCUCAGUAAAGCUAAACAAACAACAACACAAGGCUACCACAGUUAUAUUACGUUACAUUAGCGUG